GAUGAACGCUGGCGGCGCGCCUAACACAUGCAAGUCGAACGGUUAAAGCACCUUUUAGGUGUGUAUAAAGUGGCGAACGGCUGAGUAACACGUGGGCAACCUGCCCUCCUCUUGGGGAUAGCCUCGGGAAACCGAGGAUAAUACCCGAUACUUCAAUGUGGCCGCAUGACGACAUUGAGAAAGCUUUUGCGGAGAAGGAUGGGCCCGCGGCCUGUUAGCUUGUUGGUGGGGUAGAGGCCUACCAAGGCAAUGAUGGGUAGCUGGGUUGAGAGACCGACCAGCCAGAGUGGGACUGAGACACGGCCCAGACUCCUACGGGAGGCAGCAGUGGGGAAUCUUGCACAAUGGGCGAAAGCCUGAUGCAGCGACGCCGCGUGCGGGACGAAGGCCUUCGGGUUGUAAACCGCUUUCAGCAGGGACGAGGCGAUAAGUGACGGUACCUGCAGAAGAAGCCCCGGCUAACUACGUG
rnacentral:rRNA from 1 species